AUGAACACAAUAAAAAAACUUCUCUCUCUCAAUCAACGAACAUCAAAAAUGAAAAGCGUAAAAGAAAAUCUACAGAUUUAUACCACCAAGUCUCGAUCAGCAACAGUUGGUAUGACUGUAAAGUGCAGCGUUUGGGCGGUUCCCGGUGAUAGUGGGUCGGUUUAUGUCAUCGGGUUCAGCAAUGGAGAAGUCGCGUAUGUUCGAUAA